rnacentral:rRNA from 1 species
UACGGAAGGCAGCAGUGGGGAAUAUUGCACAAUGGGCGAAAGCCUGAUGCAGCUAUGCCGCGUGUAUGAAGAAGGCCUUAGGGUUGUAAAGUACUUUCAUCGGGGAGGAAAAACAAAACUAAUAAUUUUAUUUCUUGACGUUACCCGAAAAAGAAGCACCGGCUAACUCCGUGCCAGCAGCCGCGGUAAUACGGAGGGUGCUAGCGUUAAUCAGAAUUACUGGGCGUAAAGAGCACGUAGGUGGUUUUUUUAAGUCAGAUGUGAAAUCCCUGGGCUUAACCUGGAACUGCAUUUUGAAACUGAAAUACUAGAGUAUCGUAGAGGGAGGUAGAAUUCUAGGUGUAGCGGUGAAAUGCGUAGAUAUCUGGAGGAAUACCUGUGGCGAAAGCGGCCUCCUAAACGAAUACUGACACUGAGGUGCGAAAGCGUGGGGAGCGAAAACAGGGAUUAGAUACCCGU